UGCCAGCCGCCGCGGUAAUACGAUGGGUGCAAGCGUUGUUCGGAAUUACUGGGCGUAAAGGGCGUGUAGGCGGACUUUAAAGAUAGGGGUGAAAUCCAUGGGCUCAACCUGUGAACUGCCUUUAUAACUUAUGGUCUGGAGUUCGAGAGAGGGUGGCGGGAUUUCCAGUGUAGAGGUGAAAUUCGUAGAUAUUGGAAAGAACACCAGUGGCGAAGGCGGCCACCUGGCUCGAUACUGACGCUGAGGCGCGAAAGCGUGGGGAGCAAACAGGAUUAGAUA
rnacentral:rRNA from 1 species